GAUGAACGCUGGCGGCGUGCCUAAUACAUGCAAGUCGAGCGGACCGGGGACGGGUGAGUAAUACGUGGCUACCCUCCUAUAGGACUGGGAUACCUUCGGGAAACCGAAGCCCAAUCGGUCACUUAUUGGUGGUUCCUCGUUGCAUUAGUAAGUUGGUAGGGUAACGGCCUACCAAGGCAACGAUGCAUAGCCGACCUGAGAGGAUGAUCAGCCACACUGGAACUGAGACACGGUCCAGACUCCUACGGGAGGCAGCAGUAGGGAAUCUUCGGCAAUGGGCGAAAGCCUGACGGAGCAACGCCGCGUGUGUGAAGAAGGUCUUCGGAUCGUAAAGCUCUUUUAUUAGGGAAGCGGUACCUAAUCAGUAAGCCACGGCUAACUACGUGCCAGCAGCCGCGGUAAUAC
rnacentral:rRNA from 1 species